ACGCUCGACACCUACGGAGGCAGCAGUUGGGAAUAUUGGACAAUGGAGGAAACUCUGAUCCAGUGACGCCGCGUGAAGGAAGAAGGUCUUCGGAUUGUAAACUUAUUUUGUCAGGGAAGAAAAAUGACUGUACCUGAAGAAAAAGCACCGGCUAACUACGUGCCAACAGCCGCGGUAAUCUGAGCGGGCUGGCAAGGC
rnacentral:rRNA from 1 species